rnacentral:tRNA from 1 species
UGUCCCCAUCGUCUAGAGGCCUAGGACACCGCCCUUUCACGGCGGUAACAGGGGUUCGAAUCCCCUUGGGGACGN